CACGUAGGGCGCGAGCGUUGUCCGGAAUUAUUGGGCGUAAAGGGCGCGUAGGCGGUGCGGUAAGUCACCUGUGAAAUCUCCUGGCUCAACUGGGAGCUUGCAGGCGAAACUGCCGUGCUGGAGUGUGGGAGAGGUGCGUGGAAUUCCUGGUGUAGCGGUGAAAUGCGUAGAUAUCAGGAGGAACACCUGUGGCGAAAGCGGCGCACUGGACCACAACUGACGCUGAGGCGCGAAAGCUAGGGGAGCAAACAGG
rnacentral:rRNA from 1 species